CUGGGUCAAGGACUUUAUUUUACUCUAUUUUAAACUUUAUUUUAGGGCUACGCAGUUGCACUGAUCACAACUAUGGAUAUAAACAUGCUGCUCCUGUUUCUAUUGCUGCUGCUCUUUGGUUCUCAGGCUAACCAUUUCUUUGGGACAGUGAUGACUUUUACCCCCAAAGACAAGACACAUAAUGGCUCUCUCAUGGUGGUCUUUCACUACAAGCUGAGCUUUCGCUCAUGCACCGAUCAAGACACGUGGAGCUGUGUCAGCGGUGACUGUGGUACAGAAAGUGUGGAGCUGAGCAUUGUGGAUGAGGAGGACAAAGAGUGGUGUCAGAGGGAAGGAGUCAUGUCUCGGGAAGUUUCCAGCAAUGCUGUGUUUCAGCUACGAUUGGAUGGCGGUGACUGGAUUCAAACCAAAAACAAGGUGAAGAAAUGGAGAGCUCUGACUAAUGUGGACCUGAGGACUCGUCUCGACACUAAUCAGCCAAACAAGUCACCUCAGACCACCAUCCUGCCAGCCCUGCGAGUCCCUUCAAACUGUCAAAGAGUCUUCACCCUGUCGGCCUUUGACCCUGAUGGAGACAAGGUUAAAUGCAGAUUUGGAGACAUAGACGCAGAUGAGUGUAAUCCUUGUACACCACCGUCUGUUCUGACCAUCUCACAACUCUUCUAGCUGAAGGACUGCUGAUGUGGACUCUCCUGCACCAUCAUGCUCAGAGGGAGUCUACCUGCCCAGGUUUCUACCUCCAACCCCAGCCAAUGGGGCUCGCAUGUACACUAAUGACACAGUGAACAUUACCAUUAUGGCAGAGGUGAAAAACACCAUGGUUUUAAAGCUUUUGUUCAGUGGACCGCACAAUGUUGUAAAACACAAUGAAUCACAUGGAGAAUUUAUCCUGACUUGGACGCCAUCUGAGAAUCAAGAUGGAGAAGAUCAUCCCGUCUGCUUCUUAGUCCAGGCAGAGAAAGGUGCAGCCAAAUAUCAGUCUGAGCUACGAUGUGUGAUUGUGAGCUAUCGCACAGAACCAGUCAUCACAACAUCUAUGCCAACAACCGUUCUGCUUUCAACUACUCCAGCGAGCACGACUACUGUAACCAAAACAGAAACACUGAGCAUAUCAACUAUGGUGGCAGAUGAGCCCAAAGCAUCAGGUGAUGACAGCAGUCGUGCUGGCAAAAUUGCUGGUGCUGUGUGUGGGGCUGUAGGUGUUGCAGCGACCGUUGGCAUUGUGGUCUGGGUGGUGAGAGGAAGUCCACACGCGUUCUAUAAAGUAGUCUAAUGGAAGAAGAAAGAGAUUAAGGAAAAACAAAACUGGCUAUAAAAUCUAGAGAACUUGGGAAAAGGAUAUCACAAACGUUGUUACUGCACAUUUUUUUUCUGAGUAAAUAAUCACAUUUCUACUUAUGUAUAUACUAUAUGAUAUAGAUGCAUAUUGUUUACUGAUGAAGAAUCGCACCAUCGUGUCAAUCUCCAGUGUACUGAUAUUAGUCUUUGGCUCUAUCUGGUGGUGGAAUGAUGGCAUGACAUACAUGUACAGAGUUGUAAAUAAAAGCUACAGAGAGCA
ensembl:lncRNA